rnacentral:rRNA from 1 species
UACGUAGGGGGCAAGCGUUGUCCGGAAUCAUUGGGCGUAAAGAGCGUGUAGGCGGUUCGGUAAGUCCGCUGUGAAAGUCGGGGGCUCAACCCUCGGAAGCCGGUGGAUACUGUCGAGCUAGAGUACGGAAGAGGCGAGUGGAAUUCCUGUGUAGCGGUGAAAUGCGCAGAUAUCAGGAGGAACACCAAUUGCGAAGGCAGCUCGCUGGGACGUUACUGACGCUGAGACGCGAAAGCGUGGGAGCGAACAGG